UACGGGAGGCAGCAGGGGGAAUAUUGCACAAUGGGCGCAAGCCUGAUGCAGCCAUGCCGCGUGUAUGAAGAAGGCCUUCGGGUUGUAAAGUACUUUCAGUCGUGAGGAAGGUGUUAAGGUUAAUAACCUUAGCAAUUGACGUUAGCGACAGAAGAAGCACCGGCUAACUCCGUGCCAGCAGCCGCGGUAAUACGGAGGGUGCGAGCGUUAAUCGGAAUUACUGGGCGUAAAGGGCACGCAGGCGGUUAAUUAAGUUGGAUGUGAAAUCCCCGGGCUUAACCUGGGAAUGGCAUUCAAGACUGGUUAGCUGAGUCUUGUAGAGGGGGUAGAAUUCCAUGUGUAGCGGUGAAAUGCGUAGAGAUGUGGAGGAAUACCGGUGGCGAAGGCGGCCCCUGGACAAAGACUGACGCUCAUGUGCGAAAGCGUGGGGAGCAAACAGGGAUUAGAUACCCGU
rnacentral:rRNA from 1 species